UCCUCAGUGCAAAAUUCUUCCACAGUGAGCAGAGGGGAAAAUUCUCUUAUCUGUUGAAGGCCUGAAUCUAGCUGCCAUAAGGUUUAUAUUAUUUUCCCCAUUAACUCAUGAAAAACCAUAAUAGAUACAGAUUGCAUGGUGGAAUUUUUGGGAAUUCUUCUUAUUUUAGUGGUAACAGGAAGAUAAGCAUAGGAUUGUUCUCCAGGAAUUAACUACUCAAAGUUUAAAGAAAGGGAAAUAAGAAUAAAAUAUAAGAAGAAGCCUUCUUAAUUUCUGCAUUAAAAUUUGCUUGCACGGAGUCUUGGAGGGGUGUUCAAAUAGGAAAAAAAAAAAAUCCCUAAAAAAAAGCAGGCUUCUGUAUUUUUUUAAGAAUACUCAGAAUAUUCCCUUCCAGCACACAUAAAUAAUGGAUUACCAAAGCUUUAUUACUUUUUGGGGAUGACUUGCCUGCCCUUCUAUCAGGUUUGCAGCUCUUAAAAUCACAUUAGCAGUUGUGCUGUUUCCCAUUGCGGUGCUGGUUCCUUGCUCCCAGCAGCUGGAAUUUGCUCAUAAUGAUGCUCCUAUUUCCUCCUGCUCCCUGCAGCAUAAUAAAUGCUUGCUGGCAUUAUCACAAGCUCACUAAUUCCCCCCCAGCUCUCAUGCCACAGAUCUGUGCUCUCGCUGUGCUGACUCAGCAGGCACUUCCCCAUUCCUAAAAAAACUGGGUUUGGAGAAUUUUUUCAAUCCAGAGCAGCAUUUCAGAGAGGCUUCUGUGCUGCUGAGGCAGCACAUGUGAAGAGAUACCAAAUCCACUUCAAAGAAGCUCAUGGAAAGAGGAAAACAAACAAACAAAAAAAGAGGUGGUGCCAGCCCACGUGCUCAAAAUAUUUUUCUCCACUUCUGGAUAAUUUCUAAGUGCUGAUGUCGGGGGAUUAACAUACUCAACCAGUGUGAAAUGAGAAUUCGCUCUCUCAGAAAAACCAAAUGUGAAUCUGAUUCUGCUAAUAAUAUCUGCUUGAAACACCUGGAUCUGUAUAAUAGAAGAAUCUGGAGACUUUCCCUCCCAGAGGGUUUCAGGACAGUUCUUCUGGAAUCAUCAGCUUGUCAGUGUGGUGUGGACAGAGCCAGGACCCCGUGCAGGCAGGAAUGUGAGCCAGGAUCCCAGGGACCCCCACAAUGUGGAGGGCAGAGCUUGGUUCUGAGCCGAGCUGUGAUGAAGAGAGCAGCCCUAGAAUAUGAUAAAUUUUUAUUUGUUUUCAGAUGGAAUUUUAGCAGGCACUAAAAAUGAACUGCUGGAGCUAAUUCUCCCCAUUCUAGGGAAGAGACAACCUGGUUUGGUAACCAGAAGGUUGCAAUACCUUCUGGUUUUAAUGACUUUAUAGAAUUAAUUAUAUAUAUAUACACCAAUUUUUAUACAAAGAGCUCAAAUAAACUUAAGCAGAGGCUUGAACAUGAAUUUACACAGCAUUUUCACUGUGAUUCCAUGGACUCCAGCGGUGCCAAACCUCCUCAGCAUUCCACCAGCUCCUUGUGCCUGGUUCCCAGUGCUUCUGGUAUUCUCCAUCCAGGUCAGCUGCUCACUGGCAGAGGUAAACUGGGAAGGACAGACAAGGAAGACACCCAGGGGAUGUUCCUCACUGCUGUGGGAUUGUCAGGCUGAAGUAAAUGAAUUUAAGCACGAAACAGCCCAGAGGUGAGAAAUGGUUGAAGAUGACUCUUGGGAAGAGCCCUAAAUGUUGCUGGAAGCCCAGCUUGAGGGCAGCAAAUAUAAAAAGCUUAUUUCUAC
ensembl:lncRNA